rnacentral:tRNA from 1 species
CGAGGUGUAGCUCAGAAGCAGAGCGCUAGUUUUGGAAACUAGAGGCCGUGAUGGCAGAAUUCACCACUUCGACCA